rnacentral:lncRNA from 1 species
AGAAGAUGUUGAAGAGUGGUACAGUUAUGCCUAUGCCAGAUAUAAAGGAUAAGAUGCCUAAAAGGUCUUUUUUGCCCCGGGUGAUUGCUGCCAAAUUACCAUUUUCUACCUCUAAGAUUGGCGAAAUGAAGAAAAUCUUUCAUGCUGCCGAUGACUCUCCGAUAGCAAAGAUGAUCGGCGAUGCUUUGACGGAGUGCAAGAUUGGCGAAAUGAAGAAAAUCUUUCACGCUGCCGAUGACUCUCCGAUAGCAAAGAUGAUCGGCGAUGCUUUGACGGAGUGUGAAAGAGCACCGAGUGCCGGCGAGACCAAACGGUGUAUUAAC